CGCCGCCGCUGGCGCUGUGCUGCGUGGCGUUGCGACGUUGCGCGCCGCGCGUGUCACCCACCGAGCUGGGGGUGUCCGUCUCGCUCUCGCCGUCCGCUCCCGCACCCCGCGGGCCGCGUGGUAGUGGUAGAGAGAGGCGGCGAGAAAUCGAGAGUAUCCCAUCGAUUCGAGGUGGGGAAGAACCGAAACGCAGCCGGCGUUCAAACCUCGAGAAAACCCUAAUCCCCUCCCCCAGCCCAGCCCAGCCCCGCGUCCCUCCGCCAUGGCCCCGAAGCGCCCGGCCGCCGCGUCGGGCUCGGCCUCCGAGGCCUCCGACGGCGAGGCGGCCCG
rnacentral:lncRNA from 1 species